rnacentral:lncRNA from 1 species
UCUGUAGGGAAUCCAGAAGGAGCGUUCAUGAAGGUAUUACAAGCCCGGAAGAAGCACACGAGCACUGAGCUGACUACUGAGCUGGAGGCGGCCUCAGACAGCAAUGGCAUCAACUUGUCAGGCUUUGGGAGUGAGCAGCUAGACAUCAAUGACGCACUAAAUUACGUCUUGCCUUAUUUCUCAUAGAAAAAUCUAUAAGAUGUAGAAUCAAUGUUGUAAACUGUCCAACCACAGGAAAACAGCCUGGCUAAGAUUCAAAGUGUAGGCAAAAGCCUGCAGAGAGUGAACAGAAUCCUCAUGGGCCCAAGGAGCAUCCAGAAAAGUCACUUCAAAGAGGUGGGAAAGCAGAGCAACAGGAAGGAACAGGGUGCCUGGGCAUUUGUGGAGAAUGCUGCCAAAGAAAAAAGGCUCAGGAGUCCAGCCCCAAGGGAGCUGGAACAGCCUCACAUAGAGCAGGGGCAUGAGAAGUUAGCAGGAAACGCCAUCUAUACCAAGCCUUCGUUCAACCAAGAGCAUAAGGCAGCAGUCUUCUCUUUGCUGAAACCCUUCUCCAUGGGCGUGCCUUCUAUCUCCACCCCUGCAAAAGCCCUACCUGUGGUCAGAAACAGAUUGAAAGACUUACCCAUUUUGGUUUUAGAAAAUGCAAAGUUGAGUUAAAACCAAUCGUACAUUCCAGAAAAGUUCUCUCAGUAGACUUUGCUUGCAAAGAGGCCUCCAUUCUCUGCAGUGAAAAGCCUCAUAAAUGCCCCUUCACAAGGGGCUUUUUCAUCUUUAGGAGACCUGAGUCUUCAGGAAAAUCCUUUUCCGGAAGUAUUUCUCCAUCAGAAUGUUUUAAAAGCACCACUGCAAGAAAUGCCUUUGAACAAAACAUUUUUAUGGAAAACACUACUAUGCCAGAAGGCACCAUCUCUGAAAACACAACCUACAACCAUCCUCCUGAGGGAGAUUCUGCUGAGACUGCGUUCAACUUAGAGAAGACUGUGAAACACAAUGGGAAUACAACAACAUGGGCACUGGCCUGUCUCCCGAGCCCAAAAGCUUCAAUUACCCAUUGCUCUCGUCCCCAGGUGAUCAGUUUGAAAUUCAGCUAAACCAGCAGCUACGGCCCCUCAUCCCCAAUAAUGAUGUGAGAAGACUCAUUUCUCAUGUUAUCUGGACCUUGAAGAUGGAGUGCUCUGAGACCCAUGUGCAAUUGGCCUAUACCAAGCUCAUCUCCAGGACAGGCCUCCUGAUUCAUCAGUGAGCAGCAAGAAGUAAAGAUGUCCAAGGCAGAAUGGGAUACAGACCAAUGGAAAACUGAGAACUAUAUCAAUGAGAGCACGGAAGCCCAGAGCAAACAGAAAGAGCAGAAGUCA